AGAGGGAGAAGCUACUUAGAACUUCGUGAAGCACAGAGGAUCUGGAGCGAGCCCCGCAGCUGGGAUCAGUGGUCUUAAGUUGAACCCGCUUACAGGAAGAUGCAGCCCAGCUCACAGCGAAGUGUGGGGGCUCGUCUCUAAAGCCGAGAAGGGAACCGCUUUAGAAAUGGGGGUGGGGGGAAGAAAGGAAAGAAAGAAUGAAUGAAUGAAUGAAUAUAAAGAAGAAGGAAUAUUAAAGAUCGGAGAGGAAGUUGAAGAGAGAAAAGAGUUAUCUCUUUCCUUUCUGUUCCUGGUGACUUGGGCCCUCAGAAUCUCGAUGAAGAUAACACGAGGAGUGCACAGGCAAGUGCCCAGUUGCCAGCAAUUGCUUCAAAAGCCCAUGUUCUUCUCUUCGCCCCAUUCUUAGGCACAGCCAAAAUUGGUCAGAAACGGGAGUAAAGUGGGACACGGGCUUCAAAGUAGGGAAACCAAAGAAGGGAGCAUCCACGUCCUCCCUCUCCAGCUUCUCCCCCGCGUUCUUCGGGCGAAUCCGAGGGACGGGCGCUGCGCUGGGGAAAGUUUGUCCCACCCGCGUUUCGCAGCUGGUUGCAAGGAGAGGAGGAGGAGAGGGAGGGUCAAACUCGGAGCCUGUGGCUGCACGGAUGAUCGAGCCGGCGUCGCGCUUACCUCGCAGUCCUCGUACUUGAUAUUAUCCGUCAAUUUCCAAAGCAUUUUCAUGGAUCGGCGUGAACGGAUAUGCCCCUCUCGGUCUCGCACCCAAGUGGAGCUACUCUCUGGCUCUUUACUAACAGCCUAAUCGCCUCAUUAGCAUAUCAACAAUAGUCCAAUUGCUCGCCAGUACCACAAUCUGCCGCCGGCCGCUCCGACACAGGUAUAAAGGCCUCUCUACGCCGCGAACUUGCUUCUAGAGCGCACUCCAGCCUGCGAACUGAUAAAACCUUCCUCGAGCUCCGCCGCGAGGCCCUGCCCCAACACCCCCUCUCUUACCCCAAUUCCGCCACAUUCCCCUUCCUUUCUUUCUCCGCUUCCUUUUCUCCAGAGAUGCCUUCUGCAAAGUCCGGCACUGCUCAAGGUCCAAGCGCCACGCCUGGGGCCCGGCUUCUAGCACUUCUCCCUUAACCCUGCUACCACGAUCCGAGCUGCCCUUUUGGCCCCGUGCAAUUUUAUUAGAAAUCAUUAUCCCUUUAGCAAUUAAACAUAACCACCAAACCAAGACCGGCGAAGUCACUCCGGGAUUUUUUCCCAACAAGGGAUCGCCUCCGCUCGAGGCAGCCACCCCCUCGGGCCGCAGCGCCUUGGGAGUUUUAUUGGCUUUGAGCUUUCCCCCAGGUUGGAGAUUCUGCCAAGCGGCUCCGGUGGCUCUGCUGGGGUUUGCAAUCCCUUAAUUGCGGCGUGUAAAAUAAAAGUUGUACCCUGAAGAGGUUACUUGACAGCUCCAGGGGUUAAACAAUUUUCCUCCUGUUUGUGUGAAGCUAGGGCCAACUGACAGUUCAACUUGGUGUUCAGGCUAAGGUUUCCUAGGUGCAACGUGGACACGAAUACAGGACUCCUAUGGAACUGCACACCCGCUUCUGAAGUUCAGCCUAAAUACAGACGUGUGUGCCUGCAAGUCUAGAUACCGUCUCGUGCAUGCAUCAAAAUAAAUCACCGGGAACCGA